GGAUUAGAUACCCUGGUAGUCCACGCCGUAAACGAUGUUCAUUAGUCGUCAGGCAUAGGCUUGGUGACGCAGCUAACGCAUUAAAUGAACCGCCUGGGGAGUACGGUCGCAAGAUUAAAACUCAAAGGAAUUGACGGGGACCCGCACAAGCGGUGGAGCAUGUGGUUUAAUUCGAAGCAACGCGAAGAACCUUACCUACACUUGACAUCAUAAUUAAGGAUCGUGGAGACACUUUUCGUCAGUUCGGCUGGAUUAGUGACAGGUGCUGCAUGGCUGUCGUCAGCUCGUGCUG
rnacentral:rRNA from 1 species